AGAGUUUGAUCCUGGCUCAGGACGAACGCUGGCGGCGUGCCUAAUACAUGCAAGUCGAACGAAGCUUUCUUUCACCGAAUGCUUGCAUUCACCGAAAGAAGCUUAGUGGCGAACGGGUGAGUAACACGUAGGCAACCUGCCCAAAAGAGGGGGACAACACUUGGAAACAGGUGCUAAUACCGCAUAACCAUGAACACCGCAUGAUGUUCGUGUAAAAGACGGCUUUUGCUGUCACUUUUGGAUGGGCCUGCGGCGUAUUAACUUGUUGGUGGGGUAACGGCCUACCAAGGUGAUGAUACGUAGCCGAACUGAGAGGUUGAUCGGCCACAUUGGGACUGAGACACGGCCCAAACUCCUACGGGAGGCAGCAGUAGGGAAUCUUCCACAAUGGACGAAAGUCUGAUGGAGCAACGCCGCGUGAAUGAAGAAGGCCUUCGGGUCGUAAAAUUCUGUUGUCAGAGAAGAAUGUGCGUGAGAGUAACUGUUCACGUAUUGACGGUAUCUGACCAGAAAGCCACGGCUAACUACGUGCCAGCAGCCGCGGUAAUACGUAGGUGGCAAGCGUUGUCCGGAUUUAUUGGGCGUAAAGGGAACGCAGGCGGUCUUUUAAGUCUGAUGUGAAAGCCUUCGGCUUAACCGAAGUAGUGCAUUGGAAACUGGAAGACUUGAGUGCAGAAGAGGAGAGUGGAACUCCAUGUGUAGCGGUGAAAUGCGUAGAUAUAUGGAAGAACACCAGUGGCGAAAGCGGCUCUCUGGUCUGUAACUGACGCUGAGGUUCGAAAGCGUGGGUAGCAAACAGGAUUAGAUACCCUGGUAGUCCACGCCGUAAACGAUGAGUGCUAAGUGUUGGAGGGUUUCCGCCCUUCAGUGCUGCAGCUAACGCAUUAAGCACUCCGCCUGGGGAGUACGGUCGCAAGACUGAAACUCAAAGGAAUUGACGGGGGCCCGCACAAGCGGUGGAGCAUGUGGUUUAAUUCGAAGCAACGCGAAGAACCUUACCAGGUCUUGACAUCUUCUGACAAUUCCAGAGAUGGAACGUUCCCUUCGGGGACAGAAUGACAGGUGGUGCAUGGUUGUCGUCGGCUCGUGUCGUGAGAUGUUGGGUUAAGUCCCGCAACGAGCGCAACCCUUAUUGUCAGUUGCCAUCAUUAAGUUGGGCACUCUGGCGAGACUGCCGGUGACAAACCGGAGGAAGGUGGGGAUGACGUCAAAUCAUCAUGCCCCUUAUGACCUGGGCUACACACGUGCUACAAUGGACGGUACAACGAGUCGCUAACUCGCGAGGGCAAGCUAAUCUCUUAAAGCCGUUCUCAGUUCGGAUUGCGGGCUGCAACUCGCCUGCAUGAAGUCGGAAUCGCUAGUAAUCGCGAAUCAGCAUGUCGCGGUGAAUACGUUCCCGGGCCUUGUACACACCGCCCGUCACACCAUGAGAGUUUGUAACACCCAAAGUCGGUGGGGUAACCUUUUGGAGCCAGCCGCCUAAGGUGGGACAGAUGAUUGGGGUGAAGUCGGAACAAGGUA
rnacentral:rRNA from 1 species